rnacentral:rRNA from 1 species
AAAGGAAUAGACGGGGACCCGCACAAGCGGUGGAGCAUGUGGUUUAAUUCGACGCAACGCGAAGAACCUUACCAAGGCUUGACAUCCAUAGAAUCCUUAGGAAACUAGGGAGUGCCCUUCGGGGAGCUAUGAGACAGGUGGUGCAUGGUUGUCGUCAGCUCGUGUCGUGAGAUGUUGGGUUAAGUCCCGCAACGAGCGCAACCCCUAUAUUUAGUUGCCAUCAGGUAGAGCUGGGCACUCUAGAUAGACUGCCGGUGACAAACCGGAGGAAGGUGGGGAUGACGUCAAAUCAUCAUGCCCCUUAUGUCUUGGGCUACACACGUGCUACAAUGGCCGGUACAGACGGAAGCGAAGCCGCGAGGUGGAGCGAAUCCGAGAAAGCCGGUCUCAGUUCGGAUUGUUCUCUGCAACUCGAGAACAUGAAGUCGGAAUCGCUAGUAAUCGCAGGUCAGCAUACUGCGGUGAAUACGUUCCCGGGUCUUGUACACACCGCCCGU